rnacentral:pre_miRNA from 1 species
AAAAACACAAACCUUGGGUUUUCAUGCCAACGUUUGACUGUCCGUCUUUUUUAUAAUUAGUAUUUUCAUUUAAUUAAUACUUUAUGCGUGACUUAUCUUUUUAAUUUUUUUUAUAAUUUUCUUAAAUAAGACAGACGGUCAAAUGUUGGACACAGAAUA